rnacentral:lncRNA from 1 species
AUAUGUAUAUAUAUAUAUGGCUGAGUAGUUUAGAGCGCUAGAUACAGUGAUGGCAGUGUUGUCUUGAUAUCCCAAUAGCACGAGUUCGAAUCCCAACAGGGGAAGAACACAAAUUUGCUUCCAAACAUUUGCAGAUUUAACAUUGUUGUCUUGAUAUUUAGAGUAAUUAUGAAUGUGUUUUCAGCUGUGUAUCACCUUCACUAAUGAUCCAACGGAUGGAUCUGUCGUAGAGUUGUCACUUGUUUAAACGUACUUAUAUAUAUAGGUUAUAUAUGCUAUAUUCUGAAAAAAAAACAUGCUGAUAAAAAGGUUUACAGACAAAUACAUCAAUAGCAAAUGAUACAGUUGUACAGCUGUGAAGUAACA